rnacentral:tRNA from 1 species
UAUAUUUUAGUGUAAGAUGCACGAUAAUUUUUGAAAUUAUAGGGUAUAGUUUAAUUCUAUAAAAUAUAA